AAAAAGGCGUCACUCCUAAAUACUCCGCGGGAACUGGGUGUCCUCGGGGUCGACCUGGGAAGGAACGGGACCGAGUUUCAGGUAUGUUGGUGGAGCUGACGGGUCCGGGAUUGUUCAUAUUGCCUCCUACCCCCAGCUCCCUCCCUCUCACCUGGGAAGGCUGACAACCUGCCGCUGGUGGGAUUAA
rnacentral:lncRNA from 1 species